GUGGGGGUGGGGGGUGGACGACGACGACGACGACGACGACGACGACGACGACGACGACGACGACGACACACCAUCAGCAAGAUGAUGAGCAGUUACAGCUUUUCUUUCAUCUCAGCAUGGCUGGGAAGAAACGGAUGGGCCUCUUGCACACACGAAAGGUUGUACAAGAGGAUGCACACAGCUAAGGAGGUGGUCCAUCAGGACCCGCUGCUGCUUCAGACGCCUAUUGUUGCCACCCACCAAGAUCAUUCAUCAACACCACAGAGACCCACUUCUUGGCCCAAUGUCGCUUCCUGUCGCCUCCUGGCAAAGUGGGGUUUAAACAAAGGUGCACAAUAUGUGAAGGAUACCUAGGUCUCUCCAAGCAAUAGUGUCUUAUGGAUGUGUUCCAGUGUCAGGAAGCUGACUCACACAGCAGCUCCAUGCCAGUCCUGGCCCAAUCCCCUCCAGUGUCAGAAGUCCAAGGUAGCCCACUAACCAAGCCCGAGCCUGGGAGCAGCUACUGCCACUGAACCGGCACCAGAACAGGGCGGGCACCUGAGGAUGUGGACUCUGGGUCCUCUGACAGAAGCAGUGUCUGGAGGGAAUGCCGGGGAGCAGGACAAAGUGAUAUAGUGACAUGGUCACAUACCCCUUACCCAGCCCCCUGGUAAACAGAACAGGCUACAGAGAGCAAAGGCCUGGCCUGGCUUCCUCUUCCUCACCUGAGAUCAGCCCAGACUCCUGAGUAGAUGCAGAAGGCCCACUGCUAAUUGACUGGCCCAGGUACAGAUCCAGUAUAUGCUCAGCAUCUCCACUGUGCACCCCAGGCACCUCACCUUUUCACAGUUCCACAGAACCCUAACCUUGACCUCCCCGACUCUUUAAAUUUCGGCCCCCACACUGGCAGCACAGAUGUCCUGUUGCAGAGCAGGAGGCCACACCACACUCAGACUCCUCUUGCCUUUUCUGCAAGUCCCCUGGGUACCCCUUGUUUCCUGGCCAGUGUCCUGACAUCUCUGGCACCUUCUGCUCCUUUUUCACAGUCCACAGUGCCCACAGCAUAUACCUGGCAAUCAGUAUAUAUCUGAUAAUCACAUGCCACCGACUCGUAGGCUAGUGCACCCGGGAUGCACUCUCCAAAUGCUCUGCCCUCUCGUCCUCUCAAAGGCUUGAUGGUAGCUGUCCCAUGUGAGUCAUCUCUAGAAGUCAUUUUACUUUCUUGAACACUUGUACUCACUUGCCCUCUGCCUGGAACUCUCCCCUCCUGGAUUUUAGUGUGGCUAUGGGCACCACACCUUCACUUCCUUCUGCUUUUGGUCUCCACGCCAUCUCUGUCAGGGCUCUGGCCCUAAAAUCUAGCUGCCCAUUCUACUGGACACCUACUUGCUUUCUUGAGGGUCUUUUGUACUGUUGGUGGUGUUAGCAUACAUGUGUUGAUGACUGCCAGCGUGCUUGGCCAACUCUUCUCUGUGCCCGUGACAGCAGGGUUGGUAGCAGAGGUUUUCAAGACAUAGCUCUUCUACAAGUGACUCUGACAAACAUGGCCAUGCCACAUGGGCUUCGGUUAAUGUCAACAUCCUUUUCUGCCAUCCAUAUCUUCAACAGUGCAGCUGGAAGGGACAGUGGUGUGCCAUGCUGAGAGCUGGAAACAGCUGCAUCAUUACUUGGGUAUUGAAAGGUCAUGUACAUCAUCUUUCCCCCAUUUGAUAUCUAGAAAGAGAGCUUUGCGCAGUGGCAGUAUCAUAGCCAAUGAGGUUUAUCCGAGGCGCGAUUAUUGCUAAUUGAUAUCUAGAAAGAGAAGUCCGUAGCGUUCACUUCAAACACCUAGAAGAACCGAGUCUUCCAAUGAGUCUGUGUACACCUACCACACCCGACUGCACAGUAGUACUUGUACUUGUUAUACCUCACUUUGGUCACUGGUCUACCUGUCUACCCAUCUUGAAAUUUUACCACGUUUCAAAAAUCAACAGAAGAUAUCAGUUACUCUCAAGUCAGCUCAUAUGCCAUUAAUUAAGAGUUCAAUGUCAAUUUAGCUCUUUUUCUCCUUUGAGGUAGCAUUUGUAUACAAGGAAACACACAUCUUCAGUGUAUUCCUGAUGAGUUUUGACAAAUACAUGAACCUGUGUAGUCCACGUUGUUAAAAGUUAUGCUGGGACAUCCCUCAGGCCUCCUUCACAGGCAGUUGCUGUCUGCACACCCCAGAGGCAGUUACACUUUUUCCUUCUGCCCCUGAUCACCUUGUACUAAUUGGAAAACUUCAUUCCAUGAGUUUAAAACCAGACAUGCUCUCUAUGCCUGGCUCCUAGGCAGCACACCACCAAGACAAGCUGGUGUGGAAUGCAGCUGCAGUUCAUGCUUUCCUAUCCCUGAGCCUGCAAACAAGGAUUAGAUCUCUGGGAGUUUAUCUCCAUUAAUCCAGAUUCUCUCACAAAUGGACACCGGGCUAUCCACUUGUUGAUAAUUACAAGGAACGCUACUGUGAACAGCUUUCAUACAUUUUCUAAGAGCGAGAACACGGGGUAAUAAGGCAUGAGAGCAUACCUUUUCCUACAGAUGUUCCCCCACUUACACCCACCAACGUUCAUGGCAGGAGGGUUCCACAUCCUCACAGACAUCUGGUAUUGUGAGCUUUCAUCUCAGCCAUCUGGGCCUAGGCAGACAUCUUUCAUAAUGGCUUUAAUUUGGAUUUCACCAAACACACUCAACAAUUUCAUGUGCCUCCAGGCCAAUCUGGACAUACUGCUUUGUGAAGACAAUGUCCUCUGCUUAUAUCUUGAUAGGGGAUACCCCUGAAUCUUCACACACCCUCCCUAUAAAACUCUUAGAUAGAUGUUCUGUAAAAAUUUAUCUCCCUCUGUGUCCUGCCCAUUCACUUUCUUAGUAGUCUUUUACUUGCAACAAUACUGGCAAUUUCUUUCAUGGCUUUAUCUUCUGGAGAUAUGAAACACCUGCCUGGCCAAAUCACAGAAUUAUUCAUGCUUUUUCUUACAGCCAUAUGAUUUCAACCUUAUCUUUAAAUAUAUCUUAAAGUUUAUAUUAAUUUUUGUAUUUGGUGUGAGGCAGGAAUUAUGCUAGGUACACUUUUGAAGAAGGUCAUCCAGUUACUUAAUCACUGUUGAGAUGUCUGUUUUCCACCUUGAAUAUAAAAUAACUGAAAUAAUUAUAUUUUAAUUCACACACACACACACACACACACACACACACACACACACACACACACACACACACACUCUUGCUUUAUGAGUGCUGUUUCUG